rnacentral:rRNA from 1 species
AGAGUUUGAUCCUGGCUCAGGACGAACGCUGGCGGCGUGCCUAAUACAUGCAAGUAGAACGCUGAAGAGAGGAGCUUGCUCUUCUUGGAUGAGUUGCGAACGGGUGAGUAACGCGUAGGUAACCUGCCUUGUAGCGGGGGAUAACUAUUGGAAACGAUAGCUAAUACCGCAUAACAAUGGAUGACCCAUGUCAUUUAUUUGAAAGGGGCAAAUGCUCCACUACAAGAUGGACCUGCGUUGUAUUAGCUAGUAGGUGAGGUAACGGCUCACCUAGGCGACGAUACAUAGCCGACCUGAGAGGGUGAUCGGCCACACUGGGACUGAGACACGGCCCAGACUCCUACGGGAGGCAGCAGUAGGGAAUUUUCGUCAAUGGGGGGAACCCUGACCGAGCAACGCCGCGUGAAGGAAGAAGGUUUUCGGAUCGUAAAGCUCUGUUGUAAGUCAAGAACGAGUGUGAGAGUGGAAAGUUCACACUGUGACGGUAGCUUACCAGAAAGGGACGGCUAACUACGUGCCAGCAGCCGCGGUAAUACGUAGGUCCCGAGCGUUGUCCGGAUUUAUUGGGCGUAAAGCGAGCGCAGGCGGUUUGAUAAGUCUGAAGUUAAAGGCUGUGGCUUAACCAUAGUACGCUUUGGAAACUGUUUAACUUGAGUGCAGAAGGGGAGAGUGGAAUUCCAUGUGUAGCGGUGAAAUGCGUAGAUAUAUGGAGGAACACCGGUGGCGAAAGCGGCUCUCUGGUCUGUAACUGACGCUGAGGCUCGAAAGCGUGGGGAGCGAACAGGAUUAGAUACCCUGGUAGUCCACGCCGUAAACGAUGAGUGCUAGGUGUUGGAUCCUUUCCGGGAUUCAGUGCCGCAGCUAACGCAUUAAGCACUCCGCCUGGGGAGUACGACCGCAAGGUUGAAACUCAAAGGAAUUGACGGGGGCCCGCAC